GUGCUAUGUUCAGUUGUGAUUUUUGGAAAAAAUGUGAAAUCCUGACUCUACGAGCUUUCAUACAUAC